AACGAACGCUGGCGGCAGGCUUAGCACAUGCAAGUCGAACGAGAUCUUCGGAACUAGUGGCAGACGGGUGAGGAACACGUGGGAACAUCCCUUUCAGUUCGGAAUAACGAUGGGAAACUAACGCUAAUACCGGAUACGUCCUUCGGGAGAAAGAUUUAUCGCUGAAAGAUUGGCCCGCGUCUGAUUAGCUAGUUGGUGAGGUAACGGCUCACCAAGGCUACGAUCAGUAGCUGAUCUGAGAGGAUGAUCAGCCACAUUGGGACUGAGACACGGCCCAAACACGAACGGGAGGCAGCAGUGGGGAAUAUUGGACAAUGGGCGCAAGCCUGAUCCAGCCAUGCCGCGUGAGUGAUGACGGCCUUCGGGUUGUAAAGCUCUUUUGUCCGGGAAGAUAAUGACUGUACCGGAAGAAUAAGCCCCGGCAAACUUCGUGCCAGCAGCCGCGGUAA
rnacentral:rRNA from 1 species